CAGUAGCCACGGUAAUACGGAGGGCGCAAGCGUUAAUCGGAAUUACUGGGCGUAAAGCGUGCGUAGGCGGUUCGUUAAGUCUGUUGUGAAAGCCCCGGGCUCAACCUGGGAAUGGCAAUGGAUACUGGCGAGCUAGAGUGUGUCAGAGGAUGGUGGAAUUCCCGGUGUAGCGGUGAAAUUCGUAGAUAUUGGGAAGAACACCGGUGGCGAAGGCGGCGACCUGGUCCUUGACUGACGCUGAGGCGCGAAAGCGUGGGGAGCAAACAGGAUUAGAUACCCGAGUAGUCCCUGUCUCUUAUAC
rnacentral:rRNA from 1 species